rnacentral:lncRNA from 1 species
CAUCGCUGCUACUCCGUGAAAGCAGGUUGUGUUUGUAUUUUCCUCCUCUGAUUGCGAGCUCUGGCGAGGCCCGGUGUGGGAUAAAAACACAGUGCAGUCAAUAGACACGGAGAGCGUUCGGCAGAACCCCAGCAGACCGGCCAGCGUGUGUCUCUCAAGAAACAGGGCUCCAGGCUAGGACACGCUGCCUCCAGGGAGGCUUUACCAUCUUGGCCGUGGCCGCAGUGACUCUUCUCUGCACAAGUCCUGUCCAGGGUUUGAAUGGCACCAGAGUCACCUACCAAAGAGACUUCCCCCGAGACUGCAGCUACCUCCCCCUGAAUAGCCCCAGCGGGGUCUACGUCAUCCAGCCAACAGGCUCUCCCC